UACAGAGGUCUCAAGCGUUGUUCGGAUUCAUUGGGCGUAAAGGGUGCGUAGGCGGCGCGGUAAGUCGGGUGUGAAAUCUCGGGGCUUAACUCCGAAACUGCAUUCGAUACUGCCGUGCUUGAGGACUGGAGAGGAGACUGGAAUUUACGGUGUAGCGGUGAAAUGCGUAGAUAUCGGAAGGAACACCAGUGGCGAAAGCGGCUUCCUGGUCCAGCACCGACGUUCAGGCACGAAAGCGUGGGGAGCAAACAGG
rnacentral:rRNA from 1 species